rnacentral:rRNA from 1 species
GAUGAAUGCUGGCGGCGUGCCUAACACAUGCAAGUCGAGCGGCAACGAGGGGUGCUUGCACCCUUUCGGCUAGCGGCGGACGGCUGAGUAACGCGUGGGAACCUUCCCCAAAGUGAGGAAUAACUUCCGGAAAGGGGAGCUAAUACCGCAUAUUAUUUUCGGAUCAAAUGGUUUAUUCGCGUUGGGAGCUGCUGGCGUCGGAUUCGGUGGGUGGUGAGGUAAUGUCUCUCCAAGCCGAGGAUCCGUAGCUGGUCUGAGAGGAUGACCAGCCAGACUGGAACUGAGACACGGUCCAGAAUCCUACGCGAGGCAGCAGUGAGGAAUGUUCCACAAUGGGCGAAAGCCUGAUGGAGCAACGCCGCGUGAAGGACGAAGGCCUUCGGGUUGUAAACUGCUUUUAUAAGUGAGGAAUAUGACGGUAACUUAUGAAUAAGGAUCGGCUAACUACGUG